rnacentral:lncRNA from 1 species
UGUCCAUUAUUGCCCUGUAGCUUCCUCAUGGAGGCCUUGGGAAGCCCCACGCUGCAGAUGAGGAAAGCCACAAAUCUGAGACUGGCCACUGAGUUCUGACUUACACAGUGAGAGUUCCCCGUAGGAAUGGCAGAAGAGAAAUGAAGAGGGCAGAGAGGAUUGGCUGAGGACGACCCCUCACUGAAGACUGUUCUUUUAGCUCUGGGAAGAGUCAGCAUUGGUGCUGUGUGAGGAAGAGAUGCUGUGGGCAGCCAAUGGUCUGAGAGAGCGGUGGUGACCAGAACCAGGACACAGCUGCAAGGUUAUAGAUGUCGGGUGACACUGAGGCUCGGAGGAGAGGAAGACGAAGAUCUGAGCCCGCCGUGAGGGA